rnacentral:rRNA from 1 species
UCGCUCCUACCGAUUUCGAGUGAUCCGGUGAACCUUUCGGACUGCAGCAAUGCAGGAAGUCAAGUAAACCUUAUCACUUAGAGGAAGGAG